GCCCUUGUGCAGCCUCACCCAGUGCUGCCCAGGCCCAAAGGAAGAUGAAGGUCGCUGUGCUCAGCGUGGCCCUGCUCUUCACCAUCCUGCUGAGCCCCCUGGCAGAUGCCAAGGCACUCUUGGCAGGAACCCAAAAUGAUCUGCGGGAGUUUGAUUUAGUGGAUGUUGGGAUCCUGAAGACGGCUCAGCCCCCUGUGGUUGAGAAGGUGGUGGGUCUUGUUCGUGAGAAACGUGUGGCUGCAUCCGUGGAUGUCUGAGGACUAGAGGUGACACCCAUGCCCUGUCCCCCUCCAGCGGCAU